UUGUGGAACNUGGCUUUGGGGGAAUUCAGAGUAUACCCAUAAUAUGUUGAAUGGCAUCAUUCGACAUUGAACUCGGUGGAUAGAGAUGGCACGCGCAGAUUAGAUAGUUGGUGAGGUACGGCUCACCAGUCUACGAUCUAGGGGCCUGAGAGGUGAUCCCCACAUGGUACUGAAACACGGGACCAAACUCUACGGGAGGCAGCAUGAGGAUAUUGGACAUGGGUGAGAGCUGAUCCAGCCAUCCGCGUGAAGGACGACUGCCCUAUGGGUUGUAAACUUCUUUGUAUAGGGAUAAACCUACCCUCGUGAGGGUAGCUGAAGGUACUAUACGAAUAAGCACCGGCUAACUCCGUGCCAGCAGCCGCGGUAAUACGGAGGGUGCAAGCGUUAUCCGGAUUUAUGGGUUUAAAGGGUCCGUAGCGGAUCUGUAAGUCAUGGUGAAAUCUCACAAGUUUACUGUGAAACUGCCAUUGAUACUGCAGGGUCUUGAGUGUUGUGAAGUAGCUGGAAUAAGUAGUGGUAGCGGUGGAAAUGGCUUAGAUUUUUACUUAAGAAACACCAAACUUGCGAAAGGGCAGGGUUAACUAAGCCAACAACUGA
rnacentral:rRNA from 1 species